CGUGCCGAUAUUAUCGUGCAUCCCUACUUAGCUUGUGUGUGUGUAGGUCUGGUUGUGUGUGUAGGCCAGGUUGUGUGUGUGUGUAGGUCUGGUUGUGUGUGUGUGUGUAGAUAAGGUUGUGUGUGUGUAGGUCAGGUUGUGUGUGUGUAGAUUAAGUUGUGUGUGUGUAGGUCAGGUUGUGUGUGUGUAGAUUAAGUUGUGUGUGUGUAACUCCGGUUGUGUGAGAGCAGGUCAGGUUGUGUGGGUGUAGAGAAUCAGUGAAGAGAGUUCAUGUGUGACGUGUGUGUGUGUGUGUGUGUGUG
ensembl:lncRNA